UCGGGAAUAUUGCCCAAUGGACGAAAGUCUGAGGCAGCAACGCCGCGUGCGCGAUGAAGGCCUUCGGGUCGUAAAGCGCUUUUCGGGUGGAUGAGAGAGGACAGUACACCCGGAAUCAGGUACGGCUAACUACGUGCCAGCAGCCGCGGUAAAACGUAGGUACCGAGCGUUAUCCGGAUUUACUGGGCGUAAAGCGCGUUCAGGCGGUUUGGCAAGUCGGGCAUGAAAUCUCUCGGCUCAACCGGGAGAGGUUGUCCGAUACUGUCAGACUGGAGGGCAGUAGAGGGUGGUGGAAUUCCGGGUGUAGUGGUGAAAUGCGUAGAGAUCCGGAGGAACACCAGUGGCGAAAGCGGCCACCUGGACUGUACCUGACGCUGAAACGCGAAAGCUAGGGGAGCGAACGGGAUUAGAUACCCCCGUAGUCC
rnacentral:rRNA from 1 species